GAUGAACGCUAGCUACAGGCUUAACACAUGCAAGUCGAGGGGCAGCAUGAUUGAAGCUUGCUUCAAUCGAUGGCGACCGGCGCACGGGUGAGUAACACGUAUCCAACCUGCCGAUAACUCGGGGAUAGCCUUUCGAAAGAAAGAUUAAUACCCGAUAGUAUAGUAUUUCCGCAUGGUUUCACUAUUAAAGAACUUCGGUUAUCGAUGGGGAUGCGUUCCAUUAGAUAGUUGGCGGGGUAACGGCCCACCAAGUCAACGAUGGAUAGGGGUUCUGAGAGGAAGGUCCCCCACAUUGGAACUGAGACACGGUCCAAACUCCUACGGGAGGCAGCAGUGAGGAAUAUUGGUCAAUGGACGAGAGUCUGAACCAGCCAAGUAGCGUGAAGGAUGACUGCCCUAUGGGUUGUAAACUUCUUUUAUACGGGAAUAAAGUGGAGUAUGCAUACCCCUUUGUAUGUACCGUAUGAAUAAGGAUCGGCUAACUCCGUG
rnacentral:rRNA from 1 species